rnacentral:rRNA from 1 species
CAUUUGUUCUCUAAAUAGGGACUUGUAUGAAUGGCCACACGAGGGUUUAACUGUCUCUUACUCCCAAUCAGUGAAAUUGACCUUCCCGUGAAGAGGCGGGAAUACCACAAUAAGACGAGAAGACCCUAUGGAGCUUUAAUUAACUAACCCAAACUUAUGGAUACUAGAUACCUACAAGGCAUAACAUAACACCAUUAUUAUGGGUUAGCAAUUUAGGUUGGGGUGACCUCGGAAUAUAAAAAAACUCCCGAGUGAUUAAAAUUUAGACCCACAAGUCAAAAUACAACAUCACUUAUUGAUCCAAUAAUUUUUGAUCAACGGAACAAGUUACCCUAGGGAUAACAGCGCAAUCCUAUUCAAGAGUCCAUAUCGACAAUAGGGUUUACGACCUCGAUGUUGGAUCAGGACAUCCUAAUGGUGCAGCAGCUAUUAAGGGUUCGUUUGUUCAACGAUUAAAGUCCU